AUUGUCACUUAUCUCAUUUCCAUUUCGAUAAAUAAUAGAUGUAGUACUAAUGACUGUAACCCCUUCUCAGCUCGAAGGGAAAGAAAGCUAUAACAUGAAUCAUAACCUCAUUAUUAAAUCCUCACUAAAACAUGUUUAUUAGCAAUAUACUUUGCCUUUUCUAUUCUUAACACGAAACACUGCAACAACAAAAAGCCAUAACUAAAAGGACCAAUUUUUAAGUUAAUAAAGUAAUAGAUGGGCAUUUACACUAACUGGGUGAAACAGGACCCAAUAGGAAAUAGUUAGCAUAAUUAAAUUGGGGAUGGCAUUUAAUUGUUCUAAUAUUUUAGGUUGGGACUUAGGGAAAUUGGGGAGGAGGGAUCCUGAACUUGGAGCAGCCAGCCUCCACGAUGGGGAUGUCCCGACGGUGGGCUCUGGUGGAGGAAGGCGUUGGCGCUGCCAUCCAAAGCCAAAACGAAUGGCGAUGCUCCGGGAGUCUCCGUCCAUGGUGGUCGUCGCGUCCUGCGGCGGAGGAGCUGCGAGGGUAGCCCCACCUUCUUCUUCUCUGACGAAGCCUCCGGCAUAUCAUUGGGCUCCCAAUGUAUCCAUUGCAGACAGGUAUGCAUUUGUUUAUUCUCCUCCCUCGUGAGACCAAAUGGGUCGCGCAUGCAUUUCUGGUGAAGCAUGUUGCUUCUUCCAUUGCCGGUUAUGGAGGAUGGGGAUGGGUAUGGCCAUCCUUCAUCCAUAUUAGUUCAGACUAGCCUUAAAUCAUUUAGGUGUGAUGGGUUUCAACCCAAUAGAAACCGGGUUAAAAAAAACUAGCCUCUUAUUGCCCCGUUUUGAUAUUGACCGAGAUUGUUGUUUCUUUUGUUUGUUGAACAUAUGAAUACCAGACUAGCAAAGUAUUAUUUUUGGUUCAUUCAUUAAUUUUAUGAAAGCAUGUUGUUGGUUAAGAUAGUAUGAUAUCUUUGUUUUUUAGAGGACAAAAAAAAUGCUUAUGAAUGUGUGGUUAUGAAAGCACAUUGUUGGUUAAGAUAUUAUGGUGUCUUUUGUUUUAGCAUGCGUGGGAUUAUUAAGUGCAGAUGUUGUGUAUGAUAUGAGUAUCUAUGUUAUAAAUAGAAAAACAUGCUUAUGGAUGUAAUUUUAUUGAAUCGUUUUUCAACAAUUAGAAUGAUGUUGUAUGAGAAUUCUUAAGGAUGCAGUAACAAGUAGUAACCUGGAUUUGCAGAUACUAUUAUUGCUUGCCUUAUACUUGCCUGUCUCCUACCCACCGAUGUUGUGCAACCGGCUGAGAGUUGAAGAAUCCCUGCCCUUUUCGGGAUGUAUAUUUUUUGUUUUUUUAUAUGUAUCGAUACUGAUCGUACGCUACUUUUUCACUCAGAUUGGAUAUGCUCUUAACUUACUAUUAUUCGUACUUCCUAUCCCUUGUUUUAUUGACUUAGUUCUCCCUCUUUGAGUUGCUUUUUACAUGUAUGAAGUGUUCUUUUUCUCUCUGAGUCCUUUUCUAUGUAUGAGCAUUGUGUUUUUUAUAGAAAAAGAGGAAAUCCUUUCUUUUAAAGCAUUGGAGGAAGUUAAGG
rnacentral:lncRNA from 1 species